AACGAACGCUGGCGGCAUGCCUAACACAUGCAAGUCGAACGAUACCUUCGGGUCUAGUGUCGCACGGGUGCGUAACGCGUGGGAACCUGCCCUUAGGUUCGGAAUAACUCCCCGAAAGGGGUGCUAAUACCGGAUAAUGUCUUCGGACCAAAGAUUUAUCGCCUUUGGAUGGGCCCGCGUUGGAUUAGCUAGCUGGUAGGGUAAAAGCCUACCAAGGCGACGAUCCAUAGCUGGUCUGAGAGGAUGAUCAGCCACACUGGGACUGAGACACGGCCCAGACUCCUACGGGAGGAAGCAGUGGGGAAUAUUGGACAAUGGGCGAAAGCCUGAUCCAGCAAUGCCGCGUGAGUGAUGAAGGACUUAGGGUUGUAAAGCUCUGUUACCCGGGAUGAUAAUGACAGUACCGGGAGAAUAAGCGCCGGCUAACUCCGUG
rnacentral:rRNA from 1 species